GGGUUGUGAGGUUAAGCGACUAAGCGUACACGGUGGAUGCCCUGGCAGUCAGAGGCGAUGAAGGACGUGCUAAUCUGCGAUAAGCGUCGGUAAGGUGAUAUGAACCGUUAUAACCGGCGAUUUCCGAAUGGGGAAACCCAGUGUGAUUCGUCACACUAUCAUUAACUGAAUCCAUAGGUUAAUGAGGCGAACCGGGGGAACUGAAACAUCUAAGUACCCCGAGGAAAAGAAAUCAACCGAGAUUCCCCCAGUAGCGGCGAGCGAACGGGGAGCAGCCCAGAGCCUGAAUCAGUGUGUGUGUUAGUGGAAGCGUCUGGAAAGGCGCGCGAUACAGGGUGACAGCCCCGUACACAAAAAUGCACAUGCUGUGAGCUCGAUGAGUAGGGCGGGACACGUGGUAUCCUGUCUGAAUAUGGGGGGACCAUCCUCCAAGGCUAAAUACUCCUGACUGACCGAUAGUGAACCAGUACCGUGAGGGAAAGGCGAAAAGAACCCCGGCGAGGGGAGUGAAAAAGAACCUGAAACCGUGUACGUACAAGCAGUGGGAGCCUCUUUAUGGGGUGACUGCGUACCUUUUGUAUAAUGGGUCAGCGACUUAUAUUCUGUAGCAAGGUUAACCGAAUAGGGGAGCCGAAGGGAAACCGAGUCUUAACUGGGCGUUAAGUUGCAGGGUAUAGACCCGAAACCCGGUGAUCUAGCCAUGGGCAGGUUGAAGGUUGGGUAACACUAACUGGAGGACCGAACCGACUAAUGUUGAAAAAUUAGCGGAUGACUUGUGGCUGGGGGUGAAAGGCCAAUCAAACCGGGAGAUAGCUGGUUCUCCCCGAAAGCUAUUUAGGUAGCGCCUCGUGAAUUCAUCUCCGGGGGUAGAGCACUGUUUCGGCAAGGGGGUCAUCCCGACUUACCAACCCGAUGCAAACUGCGAAUACCGGAGAAUGUUAUCACGGGAGACACACGGCGGGUGCUAACGUCCGUCGUGAAGAGGGAAACAACCCAGACCGCCAGCUAAGGUCCCAAAGUCAUGGUUAAGUGGGAAACGAUGUGGGAAGGCCCAGACAGCCAGGAUGUUGGCUUAGAAGCAGCCAUCAUUUAAAGAAAGCGUAAUAGCUCACUGGUCGAGUCGGCCUGCGCGGAAGAUGUAACGGGGCUAAACCAUGCACCGAAGCUGCGGCAGCGACACUAUGUGUUGUUGGGUAGGGGAGCGUUCUGUAAGCCUGCGAAGGUGUACUGUGAGGUAUGCUGGAGGUAUCAGAAGUGCGAAUGCUGACAUAAGUAACGAUAAAGCGGGUGAAAAGCCCGCUCGCCGGAAGACCAAGGGUUCCUGUCCAACGUUAAUCGGGGCAGGGUGAGUCGACCCCUAAGGCGAGGCCGAAAGGCGUAGUCGAUGGGAAACAGGUUAAUAUUCCUGUACUUGGUGUUACUGCGAAGGGGGGACGGAGAAGGCUAUGUUGGCCGGGCGACGGUUGUCCCGGUUUAAGCGUGUAGGCUGGUUUUCCAGGCAAAUCCGGAAAAUCAAGGCUGAGGCGUGAUGACGAGGCACUACGGUGCUGAAGCAACAAAUGCCCUGCUUCCAGGAAAAGCCUCUAAGCAUCAGGUAACAUCAAAUCGUACCCCAAACCGACACAGGUGGUCAGGUAGAGAAUACCAAGGCGCUUGAGAGAACUCGGGUGAAGGAACUAGGCAAAAUGGUGCCGUAACUUCGGGAGAAGGCACGCUGAUACGUAGGUGAAGUCCCUUGCGGAUGGAGCUGAAAUCAGUCGAAGAUACCAGCUGGCUGCAACUGUUUAUUAAAAACACAGCACUGUGCAAACACGAAAGUGGACGUAUACGGUGUGACGCCUGCCCGGUGCCGGAAGGUUAAUUGAUGGGGUUAGCGGUAACGCGAAGCUCUUGAUCGAAGCCCCGGUAAACGGCGGCCGUAACUAUAACGGUCCUAAGGUAGCGAAAUUCCUUGUCGGGUAAGUUCCGACCUGCACGAAUGGCGUAAUGAUGGCCAGGCUGUCUCCACCCGAGACUCAGUGAAAUUGAACUCGCUGUGAAGAUGCAGUGUACCCGCGGCAAGACGGAAAGACCCCGUGAACCUUUACUAUAGCUUGACACUGAACAUUGAGCCUUGAUGUGUAGGAUAGGUGGGAGGCUUUGAAGUGUGGACGCCAGUCUGCAUGGAGCCGACCUUGAAAUACCACCCUUUAAUGUUUGAUGUUCUAACGUUGGCCCCUAAUCGGGGUUGCGGACAGUGUCUGGUGGGUAGUUUGACUGGGGCGGUCUCCUCCUAAAGAGUAACGGAGGAGCACGAAGGUUGGCUAAUCCUGGUCGGACAUCAGGAGGUUAGUGCAAUGGCAUAAGCCAGCUUGACUGCGAGCGUGACGGCGCGAGCAGGUGCGAAAGCAGGUCAUAGUGAUCCGGUGGUUCUGAAUGGAAGGGCCAUCGCUCAACGGAUAAAAGGUACUCCGGGGAUAACAGGCUGAUACCGCCCAAGAGUUCAUAUCGACGGCGGUGUUUGGCACCUCGAUGUCGGCUCAUCACAUCCUGGGGCUGAAGUAGGUCCCAAGGGUAUGGCUGUUCGCCAUUUAAAGUGGUACGCGAGCUGGGUUUAGAACGUCGUGAGACAGUUCGGUCCCUAUCUGCCGUGGGCGCUGGAGAACUGAGGGGGGCUGCUCCUAGUACGAGAGGACCGGAGUGGACGCAUCACUGGUGUUCGGGUUGUCAUGCCAAUGGCACUGCCCGGUAGCUAAAUGCGGAAGAGAUAAGUGCUGAAAGCAUCUAAGCACGAAACUUGCCCCGAGAUGAGUUCUCCCUGACUCCUUGAGAGUCCUGAAGGAACGUUGAAGACGACGACGUUGAUAGGCCGGGUGUGUAAGCGCAGCGAUGCGUUGAGCUAACCGGUACUAAUGAACCGUGAGGCUUAACCUUACAACGCCGAAGCUGUU
rnacentral:rRNA from 1 species